GACAUAGCUUCUCAGGGGAAAAACGUAGUCUCAGCCUAACCCUCUCUCAUGCUCGAACCCGUAAGUUCAAUGCCAGAAUGAAUAGGUGUAAUCUGUUGGAUUUUGGGUGCUCUGGGCCCCAACUCACUUGGUCCAAUGGAAGGCAAGGACAUGCUAACACAUUGGAGAGACUAGACCGUGCUGUUUGCAAUUUUGAAUGGUGUAUAGCUUUCACUGAAGGUGCAAUUCGUAAUUUACCAAGAACCUACUCUAACCACUCUCCUUUGAUUGUGUUCACACAAGGAAAAUCAAAUUAAACACAGGUGGCUGUGCUCGGGGCGAUCUAGGAGCAGGGGGGUUUGGAGGCCUCUUUCGCGAUGAAUCUGGCAUUUGGCUGUGCGGUUUUUUGGGAAGUUAGAGACAUGCUUUAGCUUGGAAGCAGAAAUGUGGGGCAUCUACAGAGGUCUUACCAUAGUGCUCGAGAAAGGUCUCGCCGAAGUUGUCAUUGAGACUGACUCCAUCAUAGCCCAAGAAAUGAUCACAAACGGGCCUUCCCCAAACUGCCCGUAUAGAGCCAUUAUGGAAGAUGCUCGUCACCUGCUCCAGCGGUGCAAUUGUUCCAUCCAGUACAUUGUGAGAGAGGCCAACCAAUGUGCGGACAAGCUCGCCAACAUGGGUGCAGAUCAAGUGGAGUACUUGCUGGUUAUGAAGGAACCUUCUCUAGAAGUUAGAAGCUUGAUUGUAGCAGAUAUGGUGGGCACAGCGUUUUGGAGGCUCUAGCUUAGCUGCCUCUCUUGUCUGUGUUUUUGUUGUUCUGGUUUUUUAAUUUCCAAUGUACCAGAAAAAAAAAUGUACAUGAAAAUGGGGAGACUAUUGUAUAUCAGUCGCUCUUGUUCUUUCAGUGGGACCAACUCUAGGUUCUAUUUUGAUAACAUGAAUUGUUAUUUUUAAGAGUGUUAUGUAAAAAAUUAAAUUGCAUAGAAAUUGAUAAUAUUUGAUCAAAACAUAUUU